rnacentral:lncRNA from 1 species
UCCAUCUGCCAUCUGCCAGUGUGUGGGAGCUCUGUAUGUGUGAGAGUAUCCUUGAAGUGGCCAGUUUCCUUUCAGAAAGCUCCAGGAAGGGAAAGGAGUGCUGCCUCAAGCCCCAGGUAGCUAUGAUCAAGGGUCUAAGCCAAUGAGAGCAGUUUGUUGAGCUGGCAGAUUUGUAGCAUCCACUCUGAAUAGAACAGUGCAAAGGUCCUCCUCACUCUCAGUAUUUGGUUUUGUACACCGAAGAAGAUCAGGCCUAACUUCCUCUCAGCGGCACAGUGACAUGCUCCUCUGUCAGCCUGUGAGGGGAACACAGGGGGUUUCAAAGUCUUAAACUCCAUCUCCCUAAGUUGACAUGCUCUCUUUCUCCAUGGACCUCUUAGUAUUCAGAGAAGCUGUUUGCAGGGUCAUUAGGCUCAGCAGGGGAGUUGGAACACUGUACUAUACAGUACCUCAGCCUAGCUGUCAGAUCAUCCUUUUUGCUAUAGCCUCCAUCAGGAUUUUGAUAUGUGUGACCAUUGAUGAUUCAUUGUUUCCAGCCGUGGGCACAGCUUCCCGCAAAUAACACGUUGUCAGCAGGUCUCCAUGAUCUGGAGUUGGGGCCAGGGCAUGCCCUGGGCAUGAGCAGGGUGUUCAGGGGGCAGCAAAAGGGCCUUUCUCCCUCUCUCUACCACAAAGACUUCCUGGAUUUGGGGACAUUGACCCAGAAUCAUUUGUUCUUUUCAGAAGAAGAGUUUCCUAAUGCUUUGUACUGAAGGAGAGAUGGCGGAAGAGAAACAAGGGCCAUUCAGGCUCCUUGGUAAUGCCCAGAUUGGGCAGGGGUCUUUUGUGCUGCCACUGCCUUCUGUGCCCUGGAGGACAACCAAAGGGCCGCUGGACUCUCAGUGCAGCUUUGCCCUGGGAGCAGUGUGGCCACCCAGCCUUGAGUUUCCUAGAUGGGCUGUCAGCAAGAGGGGGUGAUCCUGUCUCCUGUGUAAAUACAGUGAGCCGAUAUGUGCUCAGAAAAACCCAGUUGCUUGCUGUUGCCCUUAUCUGUGGCAUUUUUGCAUAUUGGUUUGCUGCUGGCACUAAGCAGACAACUCCAUGAAAAACGAAACAAAAGUCUUUUCAAGCAAAGGUGUUUUGGAAAUUCUUGCUUUUUUUUAUGUCAGUGUUGUGUUCUAUUUUAAGUCCUUCUUUUAUAUUGGUGUUGUUAUAGUGAAGAGAACAGGAUAGGCUGAUGUGUAAUUAUUUCUGCCGGGACAUUGGCAUUUAAUGCCGCUGCCUCUCUUAUCUGCCCCCACCUUUCUUUAUUCCCAAGCUAGGAUGGCUAUGUUGGGCUGACCCCUCGCUUCCCCCUCCCCCUGCCCCGUGCAGUGACUCCCUUCAGAACCAAUCUUUCUAACACCUCUAAUCAGCAGCAGGGUGAACCUCUUUGUCAGGCUGGUUUUUGGGUGCUCUGUGCCCCCCCUCUACAGUUUUGCUUACCUCUUGAGGUGUUUUGUAAUUCAUUUUCUCUGUUUUGUAAAACCUUUUGAUUGUACUGAAAUGAUUUCUGCAGUCACUUUCAGAAAUAAAUGGUCCUUAAUUUGUGUACUCAGUGUUCUGAAUCUUAGUCUCAGGUAUUUCUGUUGUUGAAGAUCUCUGAAUGAAUAGGAACUCUCACCAUGGGAUUUAUUGUUACAAUGC